UUUCUUGAAGGACUGCCAGGUUUGGGGA
rnacentral:piRNA from 1 species